AAGUCGUAACAAGGUUUCCGUAGGUGAACCUGCGGAAGGAUCAUUACCGAGAUUUUUUCCUGCUUGCAGGAAAUCUCCCACCCUUUUGUGUAACGAAAUUUUGAUAUACUUUGGUAAAGCGCUUGUUGAGCAUACGUGCUAAGCAACCAGUGACUGACUUUUUUUUUAUGUUAGUGGCUGUGUCCUUGCCAAAGGACCCCAAAUAUAACUCUAUUUUAUAUAAUUAUUUUGUCUGAGUUUAUAAUUUUUAAAAUAAACAAAACUUUCAACAACGGAUCUCUUGGUUCUG
rnacentral:misc_RNA from 1 species